CCUACGGGUGGCAGCAGUGAGGAAUAUUGGUCAAUGGACGAGAGUCUGAACCAGCCAAGUAGCGUGAAGGAUGACUGCCCUAGGGGUUGUAAACUUCUUUUAUAUGGGAAUAAAAUGUUACACGUGUGGGAUUUUUUAUGGAACAUAUGGAUAAAGAAUGGCUAACUCCGUGCCAGGAGCCGGGGUAAAACGGAGGGACCGAGCGUUGUCCGGAUUUAUUGGGUUUAAAGGGAGCGUAGGUGGAUUGUUAAAUCAGUUGUGAAAGUUUGCGGCUCAAACGGAAAAUUGCAGUUGAAACUGGCAGUCGUGAGUACAGUAGAGGUGGGCGGAAUUCGUGGUGUAGCGGUGAAAUGCUUAGAUAUCACGCAGAACUCCGAUUGCGAAGGCAGCUCACUGGACUGCAACUGACACUGAGGCUCGAAAGUGUGGGUAUCAAACAGGAUUAGAUACCCGGGUAGUC
rnacentral:rRNA from 1 species